rnacentral:lncRNA from 1 species
CAGGGGUGUGGAAAUAUUUGUUGUGAGCACUUGUCCCUGGGCAAGUAAAACUGUAAAUUUUACUUGUCCGGAAAAAAAGUUACUUGCCCUGAUGGUCCAAACAAAUAUUGUAGUAUUUUAUUGUUAGCUAAUAUAUGAUUCUAAGCACGGUUUUGCAUCCCAAACAAAUCAGUGAAAUCAAUUGGUUUAUAUGCAGAGGCGGAUUUAGGGGGGGGGGCAGAGGGCCCGGGCCCCCCCCUUUUUGGAAAAAAAUUUGGUUGCUUAUAUAGGGAAUCACUGAAGCGUGACCGGAGCGGGCCCCCACUUAUGAAAAUUUCUGGAUCCGCCACUGAUUUAUUAUGUGUAAAAAUUUAGGAAUGUUGUAAAUGGUUUUAUUACAUCAAUGGUACAGAAACUCAAAAGCAAAUCAACUAAAUGAAAUGACAUGUAAAGGACAAGUUUGCAGCAUUGUUUUUUAAUAAAAAUUGUAGCCAGUAGGUACACUACAUAUACUUAAUUUAGAGGAUAGUGAGUGAAAUGGAAACUAAAUAAUAGAUUAACUAAUUAUUUCUAUCAACUGACACACUUGUUUUUUUCUUGGUAGUUGAACACUUCUAUUUACCACUUAGACAACACAUAAGGUUGCCUUUGAUCUAUAAAUAAGACAAAAACAAAACUUAUUAUCUGAAUUUCUUUCCAAGGGGUAAUCUGAUAUUCACGAUGUCUGAUAUUCUCGCUUCCGUAUUUUUUUCAUAUACACCUUGACCAUCUCCGUUUGCGUUUCAUGCUUUCGACUAGACUCGUCAUUCUUAUUGUCUUGCUUGCCCGAUGUUUUAUUUUAAAAGUAUUCAUCAAUCUGAAUCUCGAUUCAAACUCUUAAGAAAUGACACUUCCGGUGAAUAGUUGAUAAAACAUAAUCGACGAUCCCGGGUCAAUGGACAAAGCCAAUGUAUGUAUGUAUGUACUCGAGAUUCCGCCAAUUUAGACGCACCCCUUGAUUGACUGCAAGGGUACAGCGGAUCCAUGUACACUCCCUAAGGAUUAAUGGAGAUGUGUCCUUUACAAUAUUAUCCCACCACCAGAACAAUCCCCACCCAACACCACCCAAGGGAGCGUGUAGGACACCGGGAAGUCUGUUAUUAUGGUGGAGGAAGCCGAAGUACUCGGAGAGAACCACCGGGCCACUCGGUGGAAACAAACAAACCAGAGAGAUAUCAGAAGAUUGAUCUCCAGGUCAAAGUAGGGGACAACUUUGAACAACCGAGGCCCCCAAAGUACCCAUUCUAGUUUAAACUCCGGUCUGGGUACCAGAGAUGUGUGUGAGAGGGUGAAAAUUACCCUUCUGAUGUACUGAUAUUUUUAGCAUCCCGAGUGAGAAUCGAACUCGGGACCUUCAGCACUGUAGCCAUCGGUCUUAACCACUAAACCACGAACUCAAUAUUACGCGACUCGGGUUUGCAUACUUAUUUUUACUCAUUUUGGUAAUCGAUCUAUUUCCGGAGUUAUGUAAUAUUUAUCGUCAUGAACAUUGAUGUUUAUACUUUUAAAUAUAUGUUUUUACUCGCUGAUUAUUGGUUUCUUUUACAUAAAUUAAACAUCUUUAUACGUUUUGAAAUUAAUCCUAUAUUUUUGCUGAAUUUGAACUUUGUCUUGUAUAUUAUUUUACUUGUCCACGGGCAACCAAGAUAAAAAUAAUUACUUGUCCUGGUGUUAAAAUGUACGAGUCGGGCGAGUCGGGCAUAGCAUUUCCACACCCCUGA